rnacentral:rRNA from 1 species
GACGAACGCUGGCGGCGUGCUUAACACAUGCCAGUCGAACGGAAAGGCCCUGCUUUUGUGGGGUGCUCGAGUGGCGAACGGGUGAGUAACACGUGAGUAACCUGCCCUUGACUUUGGGAUAACUUCAGGAAACUGGGGCUAAUACCGGAUAGGAGCUCCUGCUGCAUGGUGGGGGUUGGAAAGUUUCGGCGGUUGGGGAUGGACUCGCGGCUUAUCAGCUUGUUGGUGGGGUAGUGGCUUACCAAGGCUUUGACGGGUAGCCGGCCUGAGAGGGUGACCGGCCACAUUGGGACUGAGAUACGGCCCAGACUCCUACGGGAGGCAGCAGUGGUGAAUAUUGCACAAUGGGCGGAAGCCUGAUGCAGCAACGCCGCGUGCGGGAUGACGGCCUUCGGGUUGUAAACCGCUUUCGCCUGUGACGAAGCGUGAGUGACGGUAAUGGGUAAAGAAGCACCGGCUAACUACGUG